GACGAACGCUGGCGGCGUGCCUAAUACAUGCAAGUAGAACGCUGAAGGAGGAGCUUGCUUCUCUGGAUGAGUUGCGAACGGGUGAGUAACGCGUAGGUAACCUGCCUGGUAGCGGGGGAUAACUAUUGGCAACGAUAGCUAAUACCGCAUAAUAGCAGUUUUUGCAUGAUAACUGUUUGAAAGGUGCAAUUGCACCACUACCAGAUGGACCUGCGUUGUAUUAGCUAGUUGGUGGGGUAACGGCUCACCAAGGCGACGAUACAUAGCCGACCUGAGAGGGUGAUAGGCCACACUGGGACUGAGACACGGCCCAGACUCCUACGGGAGGCAGCAGUAGGGAAUCUUCGGCAAUGGACGGAAGUCUGACCGAGCAACGCCGCGUGAGUGAAGGAGGUUUUCGGAUCGUAAAGCUCUGUUGUAAGAGAAGAACGAGUGUGAGAGUGGAAAGUUCACACUGUGACGGUAUCUUACCAGAAAGGGACGGCUAACUACGUG
rnacentral:rRNA from 1 species